UAUAUAGAAAAAAUAUUUUUUAGAAAUCGCAACAAACAUGAUCAACAGAUGAGUAUCAAAAACCAGAGAAAAUAAACACUAGGGAUAUAUAUAUAUAUAUAUAUAUAUAUAUAUAUAUAUACACACAUGUAUGUAUAUGUUACGAAUAAGUACGUAGCACAAGUGAAUGUUUAGACAUCGCGAACGCCCAUAGGAUCAGUAAGCGUUGAUUGGCUUGCGUGAGAUGGUCACCUUCUUCUCUACAACAUGUAUCACUAUGGACUCCAAAUCUGCAUAAU
rnacentral:lncRNA from 1 species